UUCUUGAACGUAAAAAAAUAAAAAAAAAAAAUCACGUUUGUAUUUCUGGCCUUUAAAAAUAAAAAAACACCUUAUGAAAUAUUUAUGAUGUAGGAUAACAUGUUGAUCGACCGGUGUGUGUGUUAUUUACAUGACAAGCACGUUAGUCAAAAGCCUACAGGCCUUUUCUUUUUUGACCGCAAGACGAUUGAAUUAGGUACGAAACUCAGUCACCUGAUGAUGUCUUUGCGAUUUAACUGUCACUCUGUUUUGUAAAAUCAAGACAGGAACAUUGUGGUUUAUAAUUUAUUCUGGUAUUUCUUCCAUUUCGUGUGUAUGUGUGUGUGUUUGCCAUAAAUCUUGUUUUGUUUUGUUUUCUCUUGCGUGCGUGCCUAACUUGGAGCUCAACGGAUGACCUGAUCCCCAAUUAGGUGAGACGGCUAUAUAUGCCUUAUUCUUUGCGAGGAAUAUGAAAUGGGAUCAAUAAAAACGUUCCACCACCGUCACAGCCAUGAUGUCGUCCAUGGCCCAUAGGUUCGUCGGCCCAAGGACUAUACGUCAUCCAUUGUUUAAACAGUUUCGGAUAGGCCCACGUUUAAGUUAUGCAAGAAACAAAAAUAAAUAAGAAAAAAUAGCCGGAGCGGACUAGAUAUAGUAAAUACAAGUUCUAUCCGAAACCGCAUCGGUCUAAAGUACCAAAAUAAAGCUCUUUUGUUGGAUGAUAAUACAAUAAACCUCCGAACAGACCAGGGAACAUAUUUGUGUGACAAGAGUUCGUUUUUAUCUACUAUUACCCUACGGGCGUUGCUCAGUUUCAAGUCGAAGCUCCUCAUCUUGCGAGUGCCAUUUCACUUCUCUUUUACUUCCAGAUCUGUUAUUUAUUUUCAUUUUCUUUUUGCUAACAUGCAAAGUCUGCAUUUACAGAACGAAUAUCCCUGAACAUUUCGAUCUUUUAUCUAUAUGCCAUUGUUAUACAGACAUUCAACCUUUUUAUCUUUCAACAUACGUCUACUAUAAUAACGGUCGUACCGUCUUUCCAUUGAAUUCUUCAGUUUCAUACCCGGAAAAGAAAAUCAGAAGAAAAAAGCGGCAAAUAAAGAAAAGAGGAAAUGCCAGAGAACCGCUAUGUGUCAUCGCCUUCUUUUCGUUAUCGAAAUUAGGUUUGAUUCGUCCACCGCAGUCACGAUGUGACUGCGGUCCGUCAAGAUGUCAUGUCACGCUAUAGCAACUCUGGCAGCCAACUUUUGUUUUAACCGAACGAGCUCGACGAUUGACAGACGUUCACUUUCAGGACAGGUUUUCUCCGUUAUGAUUGUCUUGUUUCCAUCGUUACCUUUAGAAAACACUGGUCUGUACAAGAAGCAGAUCGAAAUCUCGCAAAUGAUCGAACGUCGCUUGCAGCUGUUUUCCUUUUUCUCGCAUCGUGACACGAGGAAUACGAGUAUAGUAGAUAUACAAAUGACUACCACGCCAUUUUUACACACACGAAUCACUGUGCCCUUUGUUCUGGGCCUUUUUUA